rnacentral:rRNA from 1 species
GACGAACGCUGGCGGUGUGCUUAACACAUGCAAGUCGAACGGUAAGGCCCUUUCGGGGGUACACGAGUGGCGAACGGGUGAGUAACACGUGAGUAACCUGCCCUCAUCUCUGGGAUAACAGUCGGAAACGGUUGCUAAUACUGGAUAUGAGCUUGCAAGGCAUCUUGUGGGUUGGAAAGAUUUUUUUUGGUUGGGGAUGGACUCGCGGCCUAUCAGCUUGUUGGUGAGGUAGUGGCUCACCAAGGCUUCGACGGGUAGCCGGCCUGAGAGGGCGACCGGCCACAUUGGGACUGAGAGACGGCCCAAACUCCUACGGGGGGCAGCAAUGGGGAAUAUUGCACAAUGGACGGAAGUCUGAUGCAGCAACGCCGCGUGCGGGAUGACGGCCUUCGGGUUGUAAACCGCUUUCAAUUGUGACGAAGCUUUUUUGUGACGGUAGCAGUAGAAGAAGCACCGGCUAACUACGUG